GCCUUGCCUCAGCGGUUAGAGCGUCCAACCGGCACCUGGAAAGUCAUGGGUUCGAUUCCCGUUGGGGAGCU